rnacentral:rRNA from 1 species
UACGUAGGGUGCGAGCGUUGUCCGGAUUUAUUGGGCGUAAAGAGCUCGUAGGCGGUUUGUCGCGUCGGCCGUGAAAUCUCCACGCUUAACGUGGAGCGUGCGGUCGAUACGGGCAGACUGGAGUACUGCAGGGGAGACUGGAAUUCCUGGUGUAGCGGUGGAAUGCGCAGAUAUCAGGAGGAACACCGGUGGCGAAGGCGGGUCUCUGGGCAGUAACUGACGCUGAGGAGCGAAAGCGUGGGGAGCGAACAGG